CCUACGGGAGGCAGCAGUGAGGAAUAUUGGUCAAUGGACGCAAGUCUGAACCAGCCAUGCCGCGUGCAGGAUGACGGCUCUAUGAUUUGUAAACUGCUUUUGUACGAGGGUAAACCCCGAUACGUGUAUCGGGUUGAAAGGAUCGUACGAAUAAGGCACGGCUAACUCCGCGCCAGCAGCCGCGGUAAUACGGAGGAUCCGAGGGUUAACCGGAUUUAUUGGGUUUAAAGGGUGCGUAGGCUGGGAGGUAAGUUAGCGGGGAAAUGCCCCCGGUCAACGGGGUGAAGUGCCAUUGAUACUGGUUUGCUGGAGUGCGGAUGACGUGGGAGGAAUGUGUGGUGUAGCGGUGAAAUGCAUAGAUAUCACGAAGAACACCGAUUGCGAAGGCAUCUCACGAGUCCGCGAUUGACGCUGAUGCACGAAAGCGUGGGUAUCAAACAGGAUUAGAUACCCUUGUAGUC
rnacentral:rRNA from 1 species